rnacentral:rRNA from 1 species
UACGUAGGCAGCGAGCGUUGUUCGGAGUUACUGGGCGUAAGGAGUGCGUAGGCGGUUUUCUAAGUUUGGUGUGAAAUCUCCCGGCUUAACUGGGAGGGUGCGCCGAAAACUGGAAGGCUUGAGUAUGGGAGAGGUAAGCGGAAUUCCAGGUGUAGCGGUGAAAUGCGUAGAUAUCUGGAGGAACACCGGUGGCGAAGGCGGCGUCCUGGACCAACACUGACACUGAUGAGCGAAAGCCAGGGGAGCAAACGGG